GAUGAAGAACGUAGCGAAAUGCGAUAAGUAAUGUGAAUUGCAGAAUUCAGUGAAUCAUCGAAUCUUUGAACGCACAUUGCGCCCCUUGGUAUUCCGAGGGGCAUGCCUGUUCGAGCGUCAUUAUAACCCUCAAGCUCAGCUUGGUGUUGGGGCCUGCUGCACUGGCAGCCCUUAAAAUCAGUGGCGGCGCCAUCUGGCUCUAAGCGUAGUAAUUCUUCUCGCUAUGGAGUCCUGGUGGAUGCUUGCCAUCAACCCCCAAUUUUUCUAUGGUUGACCUCUGAACAGGUAGGGAUACCCGCUGAACUUAAGCAUAUCAAUAAGCGGAGGA
rnacentral:misc_RNA from 1 species